CCCCUAGAUGUUCUGGGCCGCACGCGCGCUACACUGAACAGUUCAACAAGUCUUAACCUUGGCCGAUAGGUCUGGGUAAUCUUUGAACGCUGUUCGUGAUUGGGAUAGACCUUUGCAAUUAUGGGUCUUCAACGAGGAAUUCCUAGUAAACGCAAGUCAUCAGCUUGCAUUGAUUACGUCCCUGCCCUUUGUACACACCGCCCGUCGCACCUACCGAUUGAAUGGUCCGGUGAAAUUCUCGGACGACACUUGGGAAUGUUUACUCGGACCCGAGUGUUGGAAGUUAAUUAAACCUUACCAUUUAGAGGAAGGUGAAGUCGUAACA
rnacentral:rRNA from 1 species